rnacentral:rRNA from 1 species
CCUACGGGAGGCAGCAGUGAGGAAUAUUGGUCAAUGGGCGGGAGCCUGAACCAGCCAAGUCGCGUGAGGGAAGACGGUCCUAUGGAUUGUAAACCUCUUUAGGCGGGGAGCAAUGCCGGGCACGCGUGCCCGGAGGGAGAGUCCCCGCAGAAUAAGCAUCGGCUAACUCCGUGCCAGCAGCCGCGGUAAUACGGGGGAUGCGAGCGUUAUCCGGAUUUAUUGGGUUAAAAGGGUGCGUAGGCGGAUUUUUAAGUCAGCGGUAAAAUGUCCGGGCUCAACCCGGGCCGGCCGUUGAACCUGGGGAGCUUGAGUGGGCGAGAGGUAUGCGGAAUGCGUGGUGUAGCGGUGAAAUGCAUAGAUAUCGCGCAGAACUCCGAUUGCGAAGGCAGCAUACCGGCGCCCGACUGACGCUGAGGCACGAAAGCGUGGGGAUCGAACAGGAUUAGAUACCCCUGUAGUC